CCUACGGGAGGCUGCAGUGGGGGAUAUUGCACAAUGGGGGGAACCCUGAUGCAGCGACGCCGCGUGGGUGAAGGAGUAUUUCGGUAUGUAAAGCCCUAUCGGCAGGGUAGAAUUUAGACGGUACCUGACUAAGAAGCCCCGGCUAACUACGUGCUAGCAGCCGCGGUAAUACGUAGGGGGCAAGCUUUAUCCGGAUUUAUUGGGUUUAAAGGGUACGUAGGCGGAUUAUCAAGUCAGCGGUAAAAAUUAGGGGCUCAACCCAGACGUGCCGUUGAGACUGAUAUUCUUGAGUGGACGGGAAGUAUGCGGAAUGCGUGGCGUAGCGGUGAAAUGCAUAGAUAUCACGCAGAACUCCGAUUGCGAAGGCAGCAUACCAACGCCCGACUGACACUGAAGCACGAAAGCGUGGGUAUCGAACAGGAUUAGAUACCCCGGUAGUC
rnacentral:rRNA from 1 species